rnacentral:hammerhead_ribozyme from 1 species
AUUCAGCUGAUGAGUCUCAAAUAGGACGAAACGUGCAUCCUGGAU